UACGUAGGGGGCAAGCGUUGUCCGGAAUCAUUGGGCGUAAAGCGCGCGUAGGCGGCCCGGUAAGUCCGCUGUGAAAGUCAAAGGCUCAACCUUUGAAAGCCGGUGGAUACUGCCGGGCUAGAGUCCGGAAGAGGCGAGUGGAAUUCCUGGUGUAGCGGUGGAAUGCGCAGAUAUCAGGAGGAACACCAAUGGCGAAGGCAGCUCGCUGGGACGGUACUGACGCUGAGGCGCGAAAGCGUGGGGAGCGAACAGG
rnacentral:rRNA from 1 species